AGGUUCACUGGAAACUGGAAAAAUAUCUUCUAGUUAUGCCUCAGAGAAUUACAGGGCUAUAUUGAUUGGACUUGAACAUGAUAAAGGAUUAAUGAUUGCCUAAUUAUAUGUAGGUGUUUCUUAAAUCUGCUCUAAAUUGUAGCUCCUUAAAAGGCAGCACACGUGUGAUUAAGAACACAGUUCUGGAGCCAUGUGGCCUAGAUUUGAAUUCCACGUCUGCCACUUGCUAACUCAGGACCCGGGCCCAUGAACCUCCUAAGCUCGAGAGCUCUGCUGGCCAGGACAGUGGCUGGUAGCCGCAUAUGGCUGCUCUGAGUGGACAUGUGCUGCAACCGAGAUGUACACUGGGUUUCCAAGGCCUAGUACAAGACAAUUUACCAUAAAAUUUGAAAUUCCACCGAUGGUUCACAUUAUAUUUGUGUUGGACAGAGCUGCUGUGGAUGGAUAAUAACAGGCUCAGCUCCUAGGACUGUGCUAAAGAUCAAAUGAAUUAUCCACGGGGAAGAUUUGCUCCAAGCCAACAUCUGUUGCCAAUCUUCUUCCUCUUCCCCACCACCGCUGGAUCACAGCACGUAGUUGUAAAUUCUUCUAGUUCCUCCAUGCAAGUCACUGCCACAGCACAGCUACCAACAGACAAGUGGUGUGGUUCUGCACCCGGACACCGAGCCCAGGCCGCCAACGCGGAGCAGGCCAAACUUGAAGCACCAGGCCGUCAGGGCUGGCUCACUUGAUAGGCUUUUUAAAACUAAAAAUAAAUAAAUAAUAAUUAAUUAUUUUAUUAUUUUGUUAAUUAAGUUGAUAAAUUACUUAAGUUUUAUUAAUCACUUUAUUAUGUUAAUUUUCAUCAUUCUCUCCUCCCGUUCUUCACAUCAGCCCCUCAACUGGCUACAUCAGUGGUGCUUUAGCACCGUAAGGAUGAAUUAAAAUUAUUGUUUCCUUACCUUCUAUGUCAUGAUAUGUUCCCUGUUUUCUUUUACAGUCGUCCCCCCUUAUCUGCAGGGGAAACGUUCCAAGACCCCCGGUGGACGCCUGAAACUGAGCAGA
rnacentral:lncRNA from 1 species